AUGUAAAUAGCCGCAGUUCCUAMUGUGMUAAGGUAGCAUAAUCAUUUGCCUUUUAAUUAAAGACUAGAAUGAAAGGUAUAACAUUUAAAUUACUAUAUAAAAUCUUUAUAUUUAAAUUUAAUUUAAAUGUAAAAAAGCAUUUAUUCUCAAGAAAGACGAUAAGACCCUAUUGAACUUAACUUUAGUUUAACUGGGGUAGUUAAAUAAUUAAUACUUUAUAUAAAAAUUUCAAUAAAAAUGACCUAACAUAAUUAAUUUAAUGAACAAGUUACCAUAGGGAUAACAGCGUAAUAUUUUUCUAUAGAUCUUAUAAAAAAAAAAGAUUACGACCUCGAUGUUGAAUUAAUUAUUCUAAUAAAAGCAAAAUU
rnacentral:rRNA from 1 species